UCCGGACGGGAUAAGCGCUGAAAGCAUCUAAGCGCGAAGCCCACCUCAAGAUGAGGUUUCCCGUCCAGGAGGCAAGAAGCACGAGGCAGGAAGCAGGAGGAAGCAAGAAUAAAGAAAUUGGUGAAGCCAAUUUCCACAAGAAAUCUUGCCUCUUGCAUCUGGCUUCUUGCCUCCUGGGGUAAGACCCCUGGAAGAAUACCAGGUAGAUAGGCCAGGAGUGUAAGACGGGUAACCGUUUGAGCUGACUGGUACUAAUGGGUCGAGGGCUUGACCUA
rnacentral:ncRNA from 1 species